rnacentral:rRNA from 1 species
CCUACGGGAGGCAGCAGUGAGGAAUAUUGGUCAAUGGGCGCGAGCCUGAACCAGCCAAGUCGCGUGAGGGAAGACGGUCCUAUGGAUUGUAAACCUCUUUUGUCGGGGAGCAAAAGACGCCACGUGUGGCGUUCCGAGAGUACCCGAAGAAAAAGCAUCGGCAAACCCCGUGCCAGCAGCCGCGGUAAUACGGAGGAUGCGAGCGUUAUUCGGAUUUAUUGGGUUUAAAGGGUGCGCAGGCGGAAGAUCAAGUCAGCGGUAAAAUUGAGGGGCUCAACCUCUUCGAGCCGUUGAAACUGGUUUUCUUGAGUGAGUGAGAAGUAUGCGGAAUGCGUGGUGUAGCGGUGAAAUGCAUAGAUAUCACGCAGAACUCCGAUUGCGAAGGCAGCAUGCCGGCGCUCAACUGACGCUCAUGCACGAAAGUGUGGGUAUCGAACAGGAUUAGAUACCCCUGUAGUC